GUAGGGAAUCUUCGGCAAUGGACGAAAGUCUGACCGAGCAACGCCGCGUGAGCGAUGAAGGCCUUCGGGUCGUAAAGCUCUGUUGUCAGAGAAGAACAAGUACCGGAGUAACUGCCGGUACCUUGACGGUACCUGACCAGAAAGCCACGGCUAACUACGUGCCAGCAGCCGCGGUAAUACGUAGGUGGCAAGCGUUAUCCGGAAUUAUUGGGCGUAAAGCGCGCGCAGGCGGUUCCUUAAGUCUGAUGUGAAAGCCCACGGCUCAACCGUGGAGGGUCAUUGGAAACUGGGGAACUUGAGUGCAGGAGAGAAAAGUGGAAUUCCACGUGUAGCGGUGAAAUGCGUAGAGAUGUGGAGGAACACCAGUGGCGAAGGCGGCUUUUUGGCCUGUAACUGACGCUGAGGCGCGAAAGCGUGGGGAGCAAACAGGAUUAGAUACCCUGGUAGUCCACGCCGUAAACGAUGAGUGCUAGGUGUUGGGGGGUUCCACCCUCAGUGCUGACG
rnacentral:rRNA from 1 species